UGACCUCAGAUCAGGUAGGGCUACCACCUGA
rnacentral:rRNA from 1 species